rnacentral:rRNA from 1 species
GACGAACGCUGGCGGCGUGCUUAACACAUGCAAGUCGAACGCUGAAGCUCAGCUUGCUGGGUGGAUGAGUGGCGAACGGGUGAGUAACACGUGAGUAACCUGCCCUCUUCUUUGGGAUAACGCCCGGAAAAGGGUGCUAAUACUGGAUAUUCACUGAUUCUCGCAUGGGGGGUGGUGGAAAGGGUUUUUCUGGUGGGGGAUGGGCUCGCGGCCUAUCAGCUUGUUGGUGGGGGGAUGGCCUACCAAGGCUUUGACGGGUAGCCGGCCUGAGAGGGUGACCGGUCACAUUGGGACUGAGAUACGGCCCAGACUCCUACGGGAGGCAGCAGUGGGGAAUAUUGCACAAUGGGCGAAAGCCUGAUGCAGCGACGCCGCGUGAGGGAUGGAGGCCUUCGGGUUGUAAACCUCUUUCGCUCAUGGUCAAGCCGCAGCUUUGGGUUGUGGUGAGGGUAGUGGGUAAAGAAGCGCCGGCUAACUACGUG